ACCAGGCGUCGAGCGGCGGACGGGUGAGUAAUACUUAGGAAUCUACCUAGUAGUGGGGGAUAGCACGGGGAAACUCGUAUUAAUACCGCAUACGACCUACGGGAGAAAGGGGGCAGUUUACUGCUCUCGCUAUUAGAUGAGCCUAAGUCGGAUUAGCUAGAUGGUGGGGUAAAGGCCUACCAUGGCGACGAUCUGUAGCUGGUCUGAGAGGAUGAUCAGCCACACCGGGACUGAGACACGGCCCGGACUCCUACGGGAGGCAGCAGUGGGGAAUAUUGGACAAUGGGGGAAACCCUGAUCCAGCCAUGCCGCGUGUGUGAAGAAGGCCUUUUGGUUGUAAAGCACUUUAAGCAGUGAAGAAGACUCUUCGGUUAAUACCCGGAGACGAUGACAUUAGCUGCAGAAUAAGCACCGGCUAACUCUGUGCCAGCAGCCGCGGUAAUACAGAGGGUGCAAGCGUUAAUCGGAAUUACUGGGCGUAAAGCGAGCGUAGGUGGCUUGAUAAGUCAGAUGUGAAAUCCCCGGGCUUAACCUGGGAACUGCAUCUGAAACUGUUAGGCUAGAGUAGGUGAGAGGGAAGUAGAAUUUCGGGUGUAGCGGUGAAAUGCGUAGAGAUCUGAAGGAAUACCGAUGGCGAAGGCAGCUUCCUG
rnacentral:rRNA from 1 species